GAUGAACGCUGGCGGCGUGCCUAAUACAUGCAAGUCGAGCGAACGGACGAGAAGCUUGCUUCUCUGAUGUUAGCGGCGGACGGGUGAGUAACACGUGGAUAACCUACCUAUAGGAUGGGGUUAACUUCGGAAAACGGGACCUAUUACGGAAUAUAUUUUUAACCGGCUGGGUUAAAAAUGGAAGACGGUCUUUCCUGUACCUAUUGAUGGAUCCGCGCUGCAUUAGCUAGUUGGUAAGGUAACGGCUUACCAAGGCAACGAUGCAUAGCCGACCUGAGAGGGUGAUCGGCCACACUGGAACUGAGACACGGUCCAGACUCCUACGGGAGGCAGCAGUAGGGAAUCUUCCGCAAUGGGCGAAAGCCUGACGGAGCAACGCCGCGUGAGUGAUGAAGGUCUUCGGAUCGUAAAACUCUGUUAUUAGGGAAGAACAUAUGUGUAAGUAACUGUGCACAUCUUGACGGUACCUAAUCAGAAAGCCACGGCUAACUACGUG
rnacentral:rRNA from 1 species